GAGAAGACUCUGGUUUUUGUGCUGCUGUUCUGCUCUGUGAUCUUGGCUCAUGGGAACUCAACACUGGAGACGCCCCAGUCGUGUCUGUCAGAUAUCCACUCUGCACUUCGGGACAUGAGCGCUACUCUGGCUGAACACAAAGUGAAGAUGGAGCAUAUGCAGAUGAUAAACCAAGAACAAGCAGCCAAACUCAAAGAGCUGGAGAAGCAGCCCUGUCAACAAGAAGUGGGACAAGUGGCUUUCUCCGCCUCUUUAACGGCUUCAAGUGAAGUAACCCUCGGACCCUCCAACAAUGAG